GAGGGGAAUGGGAAGGGCCUGCUCUCUGGGAAGUCUGAGGCAGGAUCGCGAGUGGGCUGGGAAAGAGAUGCCUCCAGGUGAGAUGGGUAUUCAAUGCCACAGUAAAUUGAUUUGUAUUUUACAAGCACUGUGGGGACCUUGUAUUUCUUGAGAGGACAGGAGCAAAAUGAACCUGUGGGUUCAAUGAACCGGUUCAAUGAACCGGUAAGCUAGACUGGAAAAUUCCUGUGGGUAGGCAUAGUGCGCAUGGGCAUGAGUGGCCAAUGAACGAUACUAGCCCCCCCUCUCUAGGAUUUAGCCACGCCCUUCAUUCGUUACUGUGAGUAUUUUCAGAACAGAGGUUGUGGCAGUUUCAGCAUCAAAUACCUGUUAAAGAAGAAAAGAUAGUUGAACUGGAAACAGAAAAUGCUGUUCUGUCCCUGAGAUUGGCAGAGAUAACGAAGUAAUGUUUUGCUCUGACCAAUGAGCCACAGGAAUGGCUCUGCAUAUGGUCACCAUUCAUUACCCUGAAAGAACCGCCAGAGUUCCAGGACGGCCACCUUUCACUUAAGCAAACUUGUCCACAGACUGUGUGGGUCCCAUCAGCUGAAAGUAGCCUUCACAUUGCAGUGAUGUGCAUACUUCUACUUUUCAGCCAUGAUGGACUUUAGGAUCUUCCCUGAGGACCCUAGACAAACCACAGGUUCAUCCACACAACACGUAAUUCUGAUUGGUAAAACAGACUGGAAGAGUGAAAGACAUUAUCUCCCAAGGACAAGUGCUGUGCUAGUGGACACUGAGGAACUUCAGGGAUCAAACCCUUCCCCAUCCUUCUCCAGCCUCUCUUGUUCUUCCUUGAGAUGUUUCCUGCAGACCUGAAAGAUCCAGGCAGUCCAUGACAUGGGUUUGAAUUUAAUCUCGGGACAUUUUAUUCAUUGCCCGAAAACUAAGACCAGGUAAAAUUUAUU
rnacentral:sRNA from 1 species